GACGAACCGUGCGAACGUUAUUCGGAAUCACUGGGCUUAAAGCGCGUGUAGGCGGGUGGGAACGUCGGCCGCUGAAAUCCCCCGGCUCAACCGGGGAAGGGCGCCGAAACGGCCCGCCUGGAGGGACGUAGGGGGAGCUGGAACUUCCGGUGGAGCGGUGAAAUGCGUUGAGAUCGGAAGGAACGCCCGUGGCGAAAGCGAGCUCCUGGACGUUUCUGACGCUGAGACGCGAAAGCCAGGGAGCGAACGGG
rnacentral:rRNA from 1 species